rnacentral:misc_RNA from 1 species
AAAACUAGAAUGAAAGGUUAUACAUUCAAAUUUCUUUAUUAAUUUUUAAUAAAUAAUUUACAUUAAAUAUAAAAAUAUAUUUAAAUAAAAAAAAGACGACAAGACCCUAUUAAAUUUUACUUAUAGUUUAGCUGGGGAAGCUUUUCAAUUAAAAUUUUUUAAAUUAAAUAAAUAAAAAUCUAAUAAAAUUAAAAUUUUAAUAAAUUACUAUAGGGAUAACAGCAUUAUAUCUUUUAAAAGUUCAUAUUAAAGAAGAUGAUUGUGACCUCGAUGUUGAAUUAUAUUUUCUAUAUCAAAUGCAAUAAUUAUAAAAGUAGAUCUGUUCGAUCUUUAAAAUAUUACAUGAUUUGAGUUCAAACCGGUGUAAACCAGGUUGGUUUCUAUCUUUUUAUAUAUUUUUCCAGUACGAAAGGACAAAAAAAUCUUUAUUUUAAUAAAUUAGCAAAUAAAUGCAUUAGAUUUAGAAUCUAAAUAUAUUAAUAAUU